UACGUAGGGGGCAAGCGUUGUCCGGAAUCACUGGGCGUAAAGGGUGCGUAGGCGGGUCUUUAAGUCAGGGGUGAAAUCCUGGAGCUCAACUCCAGAACUGCCUUUGAUACUGAAGAUCUUGAGUUCGGGAGAGGUGAGUGGAACUGCGAGUGUAGAGGUGAAAUGCGUAGAUAUCGUAAGGAAGACCAGUGGCGAAGGCGGGUCUCUGGACAGUUCCUGACGCUGAGGCACGAAGGUCAGGGGAGCAAACGGG
rnacentral:rRNA from 1 species